rnacentral:lncRNA from 1 species
GGACGGCCAUGUGCGCGGCGGAGAGGCCGGGUGGCCACCGAACCUUCCCGCCUGUUCUGCGGUGGGUAGGAGUUUGGAAACUAAUGUUCCUGUGCUAACCUUCGUGUCUCUGUGACAUGACUGUUGAAAGACGGAGAGUGCGGAAUCUUUGGAGUUUUAAGCUUGCCAACUGUGCGGCCUAGCAGAAUCCUGGGAGACGGAAGGACAGCCAAGAGGCUAGGAUUUACCUUUAAGUGUCCCUAGAUUCAACUAGGCAGACUGGGACGGGAGACGCUGUGAAGGUACCAGGGAAGGAACGAGUGAGGUUCCUUUUCCACUUUUUCAUAAACUCAACAGUCAGGUUCAUGACGAAGAUAUAGAUAUUUCUGUAGAUUUUUUCCCCAACAUUCUAAUUAUGCCUCAUGUUUCGUAGAUCCUAGUAACUGCUUGGAUUACUGCCACCUCAGAGGGGCGUCUGGGCAUGGCUUUCCCAACCUAGUAACUGCAACUUUUAGCAUCCUACAUGUAGGACUUGGGAAUAUGUGAGACAGCGCCAAGAAUUUAAUCCAGGAGAAUUGACAAGCUUAAAUGAAAUCCAUAUUGCCCACUGAUUUUGUGCAGCUUCAGAUAAGUAAUCUUUCUCCACUUAGCCUUUUGUAACAAUUGAUGUAAUAAAGGUUUGUAGUCUUUGUGUAAUUUAUUAAAGCAUUGUGCCUAAAAUAGAAAAAAAGCAUAGGAACCAUAGGCUGUGUUUUCUUUUGAUUUAAUAUUUUCAUUUCUUCAGUUAAUAGAAAUUUGCCAAA